UUGUCCUGCUACAUUUCUUGGUUCCCUCACCAGGAAGUGAGGUAACUGACAGACAGCCUAGGCAGCCCCUUAGGCGGCUUAGGCCUGCCCUGUGGAGCAUCCCUGCGGAGGACUCCGGCCAGCCUGGGUGAUCCAAAGAGUGCUCUCGGGUAGGCAAUUGUCCCGGUGGAACGCCUCGCCAGAGUAGCGGGUAGCAGUCCCCCGCGGAGGAUUAACACAGUGGCUGAACACUGGGAGGAACUGGCACUUGGAGUCCGGACAUCUGAAACUUGAGGCAACGGAGGAGCAGACCACAGACAUGAAGCCCGUCUCAUCACUGAGCAAAGAUGAAGACCAUGCCAGAUUAGUCAUGGCCAUGAAUGUUUACCAGCGCUAGCACCAUGGACAAGGGCUGGAGAAUACACCUGCAGUUCAAACCAUUCUUGAUUUAGCUCAUAUGAAACAUUGCUGUGCAUUACUUUACACGGAGAUAUUUUGUUGCAGUGGCCUCCUGUGCAUUCACACCCAGUUGAUUUCAUGGUUUGCUGUUUGUAAGACAGUUGGAUAGAAGGUAUUUUUAACUUUUCCCUAGAAUACACAGUUUGUAUGUGUUUUUGUUUUUAAGACUGAUGAACUGGAUGCACAUUUAAUGUAUGCUAAGUAUAUUUGUAGCCUCUGGUUUCCCUACAUUGCCUAACAAGUCUUUAGUAAUAUGCUAAAAUGUGAAAUUGAUUCACAUAGGGGAGUAAAGAUUUCAGAAUUAGAGGACAAGGCCUUUAACCAGUCAAAAAAUAAGAAUUCAUAGCUUCAGCUACCACUGUUGUCUGAUCUGUGAACAUCCAAUCAAAUAUAAUUUCAUUAUAAUCAUUUUUAGGCUUUAAUAAACAAUUAUUAUCUAAA